UAAUAGUACAAAAUUAUAUAGAUAAAUAAUUUGUAUAUUUUUUUUAUAUAAAUAGUUUUUAUUAUAAAUAAUUAUUUAAAUUAAAAAUAGCUAUUAAAAAGAUAAAGUUAGAAAAUAUUUUUUAUUAUAAAUAACUAUUUAAAUUUUAGAAUCUAGUUAUUAAAGGGUAAGAUUAAAAAAUAAAAUCUCACAUACAGAUAUAUUCUCUUGAUGUAAUAGCAUACACGUUGAUUUUGAAAAUUUUAGUUUAAGGGAAAUAUAAGUUUUUAAUAUACUUGAGGUGAGGUGACGUAUUUCCUUUAUUGAAACCCUAAUUUUUCCAUUUUGUUAAUGGAGCUUGUUGUCGAAUUCCCCUCAAAGCUUGCUACCCAGCAAAUUUUGUUGAAUGCCUACUCUGUAACUAUGGAUGAUUCAAAAUCCUAAUACAUUGCAUGAAUGCAAUCCCUUAAUUGAAUCUUUAAUCCCUUUUUGUGAACUCACAAUCCUUCGUGUGAAGUCUCAAUCCCUUCCAUUAACCCUUAAUCCCUUCCGCGAAGCCAAAAUCUCAAGCAAGGUUGAGAGUUUAUGUUAUUAGCUCCAGGUAUUGCGACGGAGAAGUAUUUGGAGGCGUUAAAGUUUCCGAUUUGGGCUCUGGUUGUUCGUGAAGGGGGUUGAAAUUUCUUCCCCAACUGGUUACUUGCCUGGCUGUAGUAGUAGAUUCAAUGUGUUAUUUUAUAAAUAUAUUAUUUCAAUUAGCACAAAAAAUGAAGAUUGCUCUGCAGAUUUUUUAUAAUUUGUAUGUUUGAGUUCCAAAUAGAAGUUAUUUAUGGUAAUGUGUAUGUUGCUCUGAAGUAGAAGCUAGUUGCUGUAAUGUAUUUGAUUUGUGAAGUUUAGUUAGCUGAAAUUGUGAAAUGGUAUUUAUUUUUAUUUUACCUCUUUCCAGUAAGGUUUAUUAUCUGUAUAUGAGGGACUGUUUCUCUUCCAUCUUGUAGGGCAACAGAAUCUUUACAUUUGAUCAAUUCCAACAACACCACUCCUAUAAACGUCGAUUUUGGUAGUGACCAUCCCUGCUCCUAGAUAUUCUGGAGCCACAUAACCGCUCGACACACCUGAAAAGGCACAACUUGAAGUUCUUUUCCUUUGUGAUUCUUCAGCAAGAGCAAAAUUU
rnacentral:lncRNA from 1 species